GGUCGUAUGGUGUAGUGGUUAGCAUUUAGGGUUUUGAUUCCUACGACGUGAGUUCGAAUCUCACUAUGACCA
rfam:Anncaliia algerae PRA339 unplaced genomic scaffold supercont2.32, whole genome shotgun sequence.